UAAUGCCAGAUGAUGAUUACAAGUGCAUAGUUCAGAUGAUCAAACCAUGAUUACUUGAACAAAUAGUCUUUCGCUCCUAUAGCUGAUGACAAUU
rfam:Hordeum vulgare subsp. vulgare, WGS project CAJW01000000 data, contig: morex_contig_203408